rnacentral:rRNA from 1 species
UAAGAGAUUCAAGUAGCCGAUUAGAGAAUGGCUUGGCUUGGAAGCCGAUGAAGGACGUGGCAAGCUGCGAUAAGCGUGGGGUACCUGCAAGCAGGGUUUGAUCCCACGAUCUCCGAAUUGUUCCCCAAAGGAACGGGCACCCCGGGAAUCGAAGCAUCCUAGUACCGGGAGGAAAAGACAUCGAACGAGAUGCGGGGAGUAGGGUCGACCGAAAUCCGCAGAGGGCAAACCGAAUCCGUGGGGGUAACCUCAUGGAGAUGUGGGGUUUGGACUGGGCGCACAAGCUAGUUGGCGAGGAUGAGUCGGCUGGAAAGCCGUACCAGAGAGGGUGAUAGUCCCGUGUCUGUAGCCAAAUAGGUUGAUUUCCUAGUAUCCAGAGUAGGGCGCAUCGGAUAUUGCGUCUGAAUAUUCCGGUCAUUCCCCGGAAACCCUAAAUACAUUCCAAGACCGAUAGCGAACAAGUACCGUGAGGGAAAGCUGAAAGAGUACCCUUAGAAGGGGGUGCAAAGCGCCUGAAACUAAUCGGUGACGGAGAGAUGCGGCGUGAAAGAAACGAUGGUCCCUGAAGGAAACGAAGGGGCUUGAUCAGCGUCGCAUCGUACGUCCUGAAGCACGAGCGAGGGAGUUUGUGGACGUGGCGAGGCUAAGUUCUCCAAGAACGAAGCCGCAGGGAAACCGAGCGCGCGCAAUUCGCAAGAAUGAGGCGCGGUGUGUUAAACUCGCACCAGUCACGGCCACCAGACCCGAAGCCUGAUGAUCCAUCCCUGGGGAGAUUGAAGCCUGGCUACAACCGGGUGGAGGAUCGAAACCAGUUCUAGUCCAACUGUUUGGGUCACCUGGGGAUAGGAGUAAAAUGUCAUUCGAAUCAGGUGAUAGCGGGCUCCUUCUGAAACGGCCCUUAGGCCGGCCCGCGCGGAGAGGGAAUGCGGUGUAGAGAUACUGAUUAGGAAGUACUGGGGGGAAACCCUCAGCUUCUUUGUCAAACUCCGAAUUUGCAUUCCUCGUAGAAGCGCGGAGUGGGGGGACGCGGGUAAGCUGCGUUUCCGAAAGGGAAAGAACCCGGUGUGUGGUUAAGGCCCAUAAAUGAUUGCUAAGUGUGAAUGAACUGCGUUGGUUUCCAUAGACAGUGGAGAGGUAGGCUUAGAAGCAGCCAUCCUUUAAAGAAAGCGUAACAGCUCAUCCAUCUAGGACGCCAGCCGGGAAGAUACGCUGGGCUCAAGUGAUCUGCCGAUACCACAUGACACACGUUGAACGUGUGAUUCUGUAAGAAGGUGUACGGGUGGCGCCGAAGGGGGGUCGUAAGAUCCUCUGGAGCUGCCUGUAACAUGGAUCCUCGCGCUAGUAAUAACAUAGAAGAGUGAGAAUCUCUUCCGCCGAAAGGGCAAGGGUUCCUUAGCGCUUGUCAUAAGCUAAGGGUUAGUCGGUCCUAAGCGGACCCUCAAUAAGGGUAACCGCGAAAGGGAAACAGGUUCAUAUUCCUGUACGACGCGCAUACGUUUUCGGCAACGAUAGGCAUAGAUGGAACGUCAGCGGCUAUGUGAUGCCGGCUUGUCUGCCGGUUCAAGGCCUACAGACCAUUGGAGAAUCAUCAUGAUGAGAAAAUGGUUAAAGGGCUGGAGCAGCAAUGUAUCGCAAAGGCCGGUGGCCCGUGAAAACCGUCUGUGCAAGGAUUGUGCGUCCCCGUACCGAGAACCGAGAAAGGUGCCCCUGGCUGAGAAGGCCUAGGCGUUCCGGGACAAACUCUCGUAAGGGAAUUCGGCAAUCUAGCCCCGUAUCUUCGGUAUAAGGGGUGCCUCUGCGUGCAAAACGUGGAGGUUGCAAUAACAAGAGGAGUCCGACUGUUUAUCAAAAACAUAGGUGACUGCAAGGCCGCGAGGCUUAGUAUAGUCACCGACUUCUGCUCACUGCAAGUACCUGAACCCCGGUUCCAACCGGUCUAAAGGCUUGUGAAGAGCGGGCCUAACUCUGAGGCUCUCACGGUAGCGUAAUACCUUGCCGGUUUAUUGCCGGCUUGCACCAAGGAAGUAACGAGAUUCCUGCUGUCCCUACGAGGGGCCCGAUGAACUCACUACGCGGUGAAUAUGCCGCGGAACUCCAACGGGAAGAGAAGACCCCACGGCAGUUUACCACACCCAAUCGUUGGUAGGAACGUGCUGAUGUACAGUGUAGAUGGGAGCGACGAUGCAGUGACGCCAGUUGCUGCGGAGCGCCAAUGUAACACCAUCCUUCAGUACUUUCCUAACUUACCUCCCCAAAAGGGAGGGACACCGGUUGGCUUGGUGGUUUGACUGGGGCGGUACGCCCCUGAAACGAUAUCAGGGGCGCCCAAAGGUCUGCUCAGGCGAGUCAGAAAUUCGCCGUAGAGUGCAAAAGCAAAAGCAGGCUUGACAGUGUUCUACACAUCAAGGGACGCUGAUGGGAAACCAGGGUUUAGCGAGCGCUAGUGUGACCAGUAAUGGGUCCCUAGUCUAACAGUGAACCGAUCCUGGGGGUAACUGAGUGGUUGCGGGAGAGAGUCCAUAUCGACCCCGCAGUUUGCGACCUCGCCGUCGUCUCAAGUCAUCCUGGCUGGGCAUAACCAGCCAAGGGUGGAGGGGUUUACUCAUUAAAGACUUUCGUUAGUUGGGUUAAGAACGGUGCGAGCCAGUUUGGUUACUAUCUGUUGGAGUUGUUGUUGGUUUGAGGGAAAGCUUCGCUGAGUACGAGAGGAACGGCGAGGCGUCGCCACUGGUGUACCAGUUGUCCGACAGGGCACUGCUGGGUAGCUACGCGGUAGACGAUAAACCCUGAACGCAUCUAAGGGUGAAGCGUCCCCUGAAAAGAAACCAACAUUUCCGAUCUGCUGGGAGAUAAACCAGUGUCACGGAACAAGCGUGCCGGUAGAAGACCGGUUUGAUAGGCGCGGGAUGUACGCACGGAGCUACGGCGACGUGUUCAGUCCACGCGUACUAAGCACGCGAGGAAUUCUUACA